CGCCGGUGGACUUGCGGGCG
rnacentral:misc_RNA from 1 species